ensembl:lncRNA
CAUGAACUGAACUAAAAGAAACGUUUUGAUUGUUUAAAAUGUGAAGACAGAUUAUACAGAGGACUCGUCUGGUUCUCGUGGUCUUGUGCCGAUGGCUGUCUAGUUGACGAGGUCUUCACAGGGGAUCUGUUUCCAGGGUUUGUCUAGUUGAUGAGAUCUUCACUGAUAUUCAGGGCUGUAGAGGUCGUCUCGAAGGGCCACGUUCCUUUCCUUUCAUAAGUUAGUGAAUGUCACGUAGUACUAAAGCUGAGAUUUUGCUAUCGAGUGAUCCCUAGUGUGUUUCGGAUGCCUCGAUUUGAUAUGUCUGGGCUGCCGGUGUGUAUCAGGUAAUGUGUGUGUUUGUGGCCCGUAGGGGACAGGGCUUUGUGAGAGUGAUGUUCCGUGUCUACAGGACUGCAGUGAGGACAGUGUCACUCUGACUGAUGGCGGGAGCUCUGAGACGGGCUGUGUUGGAGGUAGUGGAGCGUGUAUUGAACGCUAACUCACUCUCCACGAUUUCCUCUUUCUUCACAUCCCUGUACAGUUCUCCUGGGCCAGCCUGUCUCCUUUAGUGUGACCUUGUGACCAGCGCUGUGGUGGGCUCACUGUGACACUUCCAUGCUGCUGGGUGUCAACAGUGAUGAUGGUUGGCCUUCAGUCCCAGAUGGCUCCCAUAUGGUUGAACACACCUUCAGUGUCUGUGAUUGAUCCCUUCCCCGCUAAACACCCUCGCGGUACACACCACACCCUCUUCCAUGCAUAUUCACUCAGUAUGUUCUUGCUCUUAAUAAUGCACACUCACACACUGUUUAUAGGCUGGUACUUUUCAUACGUGCCCUUGCUGCAUUGACAGGUUUGUGUGAUGAAUAGUCGAGUGCUUGUCAUUGCUUGCGGUGUGCGUUCUGUUCUCCUAGCACAUGUUUUAAAUACAGCUUGUCAAGUCAAAAUGUUCCUCCAGUCAUCUGCAGAGACCAGCGAAGUGCUGCAUGGGGAAGAAAUUGUGCAAAAGAAGCAGAUACCACAUUAUGAGCUGCAAAAUAUAUGUCGUGGCAUGGGCAGCAGGAAAUAGGGGGUUCUGCACAGUUUGGGGGAGUAACUU